CCCUUAGAUGUUCUGGGCCGCACGCGCGCUACACUGAUGCGUUCAACGAGUAUACAACCUUGAUCGAUAGGUCUGGGUAAUCUUUUGAAUGCGCAUCGUGCUAGGGAUAGACUGUUGCAAUUUUCAGUCUUGAACGAGGAAUUCCUAGUAAACGCAAGUCAUCAGCUUGCAUUGAUUACGUCCCUGCCCUUUGUACACACCGCCCGUCGCACCUACCGAUUGAAUGGUCCGGUGAAAUCUCGGGACGGCGGCUUGGUCGCUUGCGUCCGACUGCUGAAACUUGAUUAAACCAUAUCAUUUAGAGGAAGGUGAAGUCGUAACA
rnacentral:rRNA from 1 species